CAAUUCUGCAGUAAAAUAAAGAAGUAAAGAGCAUCUCUGCCUAAAAUCUUUGAUUAAGAUUUAAGAGCCUGAAAAUACACAACUACAAUUGCUGAUAGUGAGGCAAUAUUAUCUCAGGAAUUCAGGAUAAUCUAUCUCAGAAAGCUACAACAAGAAUCUUACGAGCAGACGGAUUCAUGUUCAACAGCCAUCCUUUUCUGAAUCAAGAACCGGUAGAAUGCCCAAUGCUGAUGAAGAAAGAUGCAUACCCCGCACUAAUCCUCCAUACCCGGUCUUGAUUUUAUAGCACAGCAGCAAGAUAGAAUCCCAGAGUGCUGUUCUUCCCUGGAGAGAAAACUGAGGCAUCUUAUCCCAGUAUAGGGCAAAAACUGGGGGAUUUUGCUUUCCAACAGCCAAUAUGCAAGCUCCUGGAUGGAGCACGGAGGGAACACCAGAUACAACAGCUACAUACUUUUCAGGAAACCUUUCUUUAGGAGGUAAAACACCCAAAAAUAAGGGAUUUUUGCUAGACUGGAUUCCAGCAUAAGCUGUAGGAUCAACAUGU
rnacentral:misc_RNA from 1 species